AUUGAACGCUGGCGGCAUGCCUUACACAUGCAAGUCGAACGGUAGAGUAGCAAUACUCGAGAGUGGCGAACGGGUGAGUAAUAUAUCGGAACGUGCCCAAUGUGGGGGAUAACGUAGAGAAAUUUACGCUAAUACCGCAUACGAUCUAAGGAUGAAAGCGGGGGAUCGCAAGACCUCGCGCAUUGGAGCGGCUGAUAUCA
rnacentral:rRNA from 1 species